CGUAGGUGGGCUAUUAAGUCAGUGGUGAAAGUUUGUCGCUCAACGAUAAAAUUGCCGUUGAAACUGGUGGUCUUGAGUAUGGAUGAAGUAGGCGGAAUGCGUGGUGUAGCGGUGAAAUGCAUAGAGAUCACGCAGAACUCCGAUUGCGAAGGCAGCUUACUAAGGCAUAACUGACACUGAAGCACGAAAGCGUGGGUAUCAAACAGGAUUAGAU
rnacentral:ncRNA from 1 species